AGGACAUUAAAUUAUUAUUUUCUUUUUUUAUUUAUUUAAAUUUUUAUUUUAAAUGAAAAUAUUUAAAUUUUAUUAUUAGACAAAAAGACCCUAUGAAGCUUAAAAUUUUUAAAUAUAAUUAAGAUAGGUAAUUUAAAAUUUAUUAUUUGGGGAAAAUAUUAAUAAUUUUAUUAAUAAAUCUUAAAAAAAAAGAUCCUAAGAGGAAAUAUGAAAUAGCUCCUCUAGGGAUAACA
rnacentral:rRNA from 1 species